AAAGGAAUAGACGGGGGCCCGCACAAGCGGAGGAACAUGUGGUUUAAUUCGAUGAUACGCGAGGAACCUUACCCGGGCUAGAACGCAGAGGGAGUAUGCUGGAAACGGUAUAGCCGCAAGGCCGUCUGCGAGGUGCUGCAUGGUUGUCGUCAGCUCGUGCCGUGAGGUGUCGGCUUAAGUGCCAUAACGAGCGCAACCCUUAUUGUUAGUUGCCAUCGGGUAAUGCCGGGGACUCUAGCAAAACUGCCUGCGUAAGCAGUGAGGAAGGUGGGGAUGACGUCAAAUCAGCACGGCCCUUACGUCCGGGGCGACACACGUGUUACAAUGGGGGGUACAGAGGGUAGCUACCACGCGAGUGGAUGCCAAUCCCGAAAUCCUCUCUCAGUUCGGAUCGAAGUCUGCAACUCGACUUCGUGAAGCUGGAUUCGCUAGUAAUCGCGCAUCAGCCAUGGCGCGGUGAAUACGUUCCCGGGCCUUGUACACACCGCCCGU
rnacentral:rRNA from 1 species